GUUAAAAUUGAGAAUAGAAAUCGGAGUACUAUGUACUAGUCAAUUAAUGUUACAAAGCGUUAGCUCAAUUCGAAGUUCAUCGUAGCUACGUGUAUGAUGAUUAAAAUCAUUGCGAGAAUCAAAAGUAACAAAGAUUAACGAAAAAUUGUGAUAUUCCUGGAUUUUUUCUUUAACUUACGAAGAAUUUGCUCUAAUUUUCACUUACGUAAUUCUUCAAUUUAUAAUUAUUCUAAUAAUUCUUUUUAAUGAAAGAAUAUUGAAUUAUUAACGGUUUGCAGUAAAUCUUUGCACUUUUUUUUAAAUAUGGAAUUUCACAAAUAUUUUUCCAAUACACUCAGAAUAAUCGACAAAUCUAUGGAUAUCUUUCAAACAGAAAAUAAUUACAUAGGAUUACAAAUUCUUAAAAAAAAAGUUAAGUCACAAUCAUAUAUUUGCCAAAUAAUAUUUAAUUCCAAUCCAAAAAUUGAUUUUUAUUUAAGAUUGGAAGACAUUGAUGGUAAUGGGAUUCGUAGUAGCAUUGGAUUUUUACAAACAGUACCAAAUACACACUAUCAAAUAACUCUUUAUCACACAAACACUAAAGGCGAAAUGAGAAUGAAUGAUACAAUUAACUUAACCGAAAUAACAAAAGGUGUUACUUCUAAAUUUAAGAAACAGUUUUGUUUAACUAAUGAGGAUGAUUUAUUUAUUUGGAUAGUGUUAGAAAUAAAGGAAGUAAAAUCAUCUGCGGAAAUAGAUAUUCCAAAAAAUGAAAUGUCUGCGAAAUUUCUCUCUCUCUAUAUGAGGAAAAAAAAUUAACUGACUUCAAAAUAAUCUGCAAAGAUCAAGAAUUUUGCGUACAUAAAAUAAUUCUUGUGUGUCAAUCCGAUGUUUUUCAAGCAAUGUUUGAAAAUCAAAUGAUAGAAUCUCGAGAGAAUGUACUUGUAAUAAGUGAUUUUGAACCAAAUAUUGUAGAAUUAAUGAUUCGUUAUCUUUAUUCUGAUGAAAUGACAAAAUCACUAUCUGAAGAAGAAUUUAAACAAUUAUUAUUAAUUGCAAACAAGUAUAAUUUGGAGAAAUUGGAAAAAAUUUGUUUCAACGAGAUUUUGAAUGUAGUAAAAACCUUUAAGCAAGCUGCUGAUUUAAUAAUUUUUACUAAAUUUAACAAUUUUGUCGACAUGAAAGAGUUGGUAAUUGAAUUUAUGAAAAAAAAGAAAAAUAUUUUAAUGUAAAAAAUUCUUUGUUUAAUAUCAGCGCUAACAGGGUUGUAUGUUAAAACCUUAAAAGUUUUAUUCUAAUUUAUUG